UACAGAGGGUGCAAGCGUUAAUCGGAAUUACUGGGCGUAAAGCGCACGUAGGCGGUUUUUUAAGUCAGAUGUGAAAGCCCCGGGCUCAACCUGCGAAUUGCAUUUGAAACUGGGAAACUAGAGUGUGUGAGAGGGGGGUAGAAUUCCAAGUGUAGCGGUGAAAUGCGUAGAGAUUUGGAGGAAUACCAGUGGCGAAGGCG
rnacentral:rRNA from 1 species